GAUGAACGCUGGCGGCGUGCCUAAUACAUGCAAGUCGAGCGGACAGACGAGGAGCUUGCUCCUCUGACGUUAGCGGCGGACGGGUGAGUAACACGUGGAUAACCUACCUAUAAGACUGGGAUAACUUCGGGAAACCGGAGCUAAUACCGGAUAAUAUAUUGAACCGCAUGGUUCAAUAGUGAAAGACGGUUUUGCUGUCACUUAUAGAUGGAUCCGCGCCGCAUUAGCUAGUUGGUAAGGUAACGGCUUACCAAGGCAACGAUGCGUAGCCGACCUGAGAGGGUGAUCGGCCACACUGGAACUGAGACACGGUCCAGACUCCUACGGGAGGCAGCAGUAGGGAAUCUUCCGCAAUGGGCGAAAGCCUGACGGAGCAACGCCGCGUGAGUGAUGAAGGUCUUCGGAUCGUAAAACUCUGUUAUUAGGGAAGAACAAAUGUGUAAGUAACUAUGCACGUCUUGACGGUACCUAAUCAGAAAGCCACGGCUAACCACGUG
rnacentral:rRNA from 1 species